ACUAGGACCAGGCUCAGUCUGUGUACUAGGACCAGGCUCUGAGUCUGUGUACUAGGACCAGGCUCUGAGUCUGUGUACUAGGACCAGGCUCUGAGUCUGUGUACUAGGACCAGGCUGAGUCUGUGUACUAGGACCAGGCUCAGUCUGUGUACUAGGACCAGGCUCAGUCUGUGUACUAGGACCAGGCUCAGACCAGGCUCAGUCUGUGUACUAGGACCAGGCUCUGAGUCAGUCUGUGUACUAGGACGAGAAGGCCACGGUACAGCCGUUGU